AUAACUGUAUAUUCAAAUACUAUCAUAUAGCUGUGCUACAAAAUGAGUUACACCCCGCGGCGACCUUUCCGUAGCGAUCGAUUUCCCUGAUACGGCCGAGUGCGUUUGCCCGUACCUUCGAACAUAUAGGCCAAAGAAGCAGAACAAGAAAGGAGAAGUUUGGUAAAAAGAACUUUGUUUACCAUUCUGCUUCGGUAUUUUAGACAGUGAAGAACGAAAUCUAGUGUUCAAAUAUAAUUGUUACAGUGUAUUAAAGGUGUUGUUAGGUGCGGGAACAAUAACCAAAACAAAAAUAAGUGACUUUAUAAUAAAUAAAUAAAUAAUUAAAGCAUGGAUACUCAGCACGUGCGUCGCAGUAAACAGUACUACCGGCGUAAAGCCAAAAUAGCGGCAGUUAUGCCUACAAGGAAAUGUACAUGUCGGUGCACUUGUGUGGAUGGAUUACCUACUUCUGUGAAUGGUAUGCGCGAUGUGGAAUCGACAGUGAAAUUGUAUCACAACAUAAAUUACAUGUGUGUAUUUAUUUGUGUUUUGCAGAGCCUAGAAUCGAAGCAGCUGCUUGAAGUGAUGCUGAACCUUAUCCUUUCUCUGAUGAGUCGGGCGCCAUUGAAGAUGACGCGGACAUUCCAUUGGAUGAUGUGCUAUCAGAUGACGACGACGACGACGAUAUCAACACCGAAGAAUCUUUAGAGUUUGAUUUUGGUCAACGCUCCAUGGAAGCGUGCUUGCAAUUUUGGGCUUUAAAAACAAACACGCCUCAUACAUCGAUCAACAUGAUAUUAAGAAUCAUCCAAGAAAAAACUUCUUGCGUUGAGCCGAAGGAUGCUCGUACUCUGCUACACACUAGCAGGGUAGCAAAAGAAAUUGCUGCUGUUGAAGGGGGUCAUUUUUGGUACAAUAGAGUUGCAAACUGCCUCAAUAUCCGAUUCAGGUAAGCGAUUAACCUAAUGUUGUACUACUGAAACCUUCUGACCAUUUUUCUUAUGAUUUUGAUUGCAGUGAAAAUCAACUAGGAAACGUUACCGAGCUUAAGCUAAAAUUCUUUGUCGACGGAUUGCCUCUACACAGAAGCAGUAAAACCACAUUUUGGCCGAUUUUAAUGUCUAUCGAGGAUAUGCCCCACAUACCACCUAUGGCAGUGGCUAUAUUCUGCGGGUCAUCGAAGCCGGGUUCAGUAGAACAAAUUUUGCUGCCUUUAGUAGAGGAGUUUGGAGCAGUAAACGCUGAGUUUAGGGAGGCAAUUUACGUCAGACAUAGAGUAGGCAAUUCACCACUCUUAGAUUUAGGAUGUUUUGAUAUAGUGAAGGACGUGUUAGUCGGUGAUAAACUUCACUUGAUAGAUCUAGGAGUUACUCGUAAACUAUUACAAAAUCGCAAGCUACGUGGUUUAGAUGAUUUGAAAUAUUUUAUGCAUUUUAUGAUAUAUUUUGUUGCAAUAACGCUGUUGUCUUCAAAUGUGUAUAAAGAUUUUUGGGACGAUGCUUCUGAAAUACUUACCGAUUUCGUUUCGAAUUAUAAUGAAAUUUACUGAGAAGGUUACAUUAGUAGUAACGUGCAUAACCUGCUGCAUGUAACUGAAGAAGUUAAACGUUUUGGACCUCUUAAUACGAUGUCUAGUUAUCCCUUUGAAAACGCUCUCCAACACAUGAAGGGUAUGCUUAGAAACGGACAUAGAUAUUUAGAGCAAACUGUGAACAGGUACUCUGAGUUCGAACAGUUAAACUUUCCUGAAAAGACACCGGCUAAUGAAACGACUUUGAAGGGAUCAGGUGACAAUGUCGUUGUAACCAUGCCGGACUUUAGUUUAAAAUCCAAUAAUCGCGACGGCUGGUUUCUUUCGCCAGAAAAAGAGGCAAUUAGAUUUUUUUAUGCAGAUACAUCGUCCGGAACUAUAAAAAUAAUCGGUAGAAAGUUGAUUGAUCCGGAGGAAUAUUUCGAUGAUUCUGUGUCAUCAGAGGUGAUCAAUAUUUGUAAAGGUAAAAUUUCAAAUUUAUCUCCUAACUCAAUAGAAUAUGACCCAAUAUGACAUCAAGGGUAAGAUGGUUGGCAUCAAGUUAGACAAUGAGGGACAUAUGAUGUUUGCCUCACUUGUUCACACGCUAAUAGAUUAGGUUUAGGCUAAGGUAGCUUUGGCAAACUGAUUAUUUUUACUUCAUGUUUUUUUAAUAAACAUUUUAUUAGUCAUUAAACAUUUAUGAAACAUUUCAAUUUAUGUCCUUUGAAAGAAAGUUCGCAUUACAAAUAUGCUUUAUAUUCAAAUUUAAUUCAUAUUGUCUUUAAUAAUAUAUACGGUUGUUGUUUGUUCGCAUGUGAUUAUUUAGGAGGGGGUAAGUGAUCAGGUGGAGAAAUGGAGGAUUGUGGAUCAGACUAAUUAUUGUCUAUGGCACGUUUCCUUGCAUUAAUCCGAUUGGUAAGAGUGAAUGGACGGGGACUUGAAGUUCGAAUGCGUUUGUGAUUCUUCAACCUUUGCUUCGCAUGGUAAAAUUUGUCCUUGAAGUAUUCGCGAAUACUCCAUUCGGGAAUUUAAAAACCACUCGUCGCUCCAAGUAUGCGGAAUAGUUUGAUUAUGUUGGUGUGGAUUUUAAACGGAAUUUUUGCCAAAGAAAUUCCUACUCCACUUCAGCUGCAGGAUGCAAAAAACUCCAUACCGAACAGCAAAUCGAUUGACCUAUGCAUCAGAUUGAAUGGCCAAUAUUCUUCUGAUUCCCGUUUUAGAAACGAUAUCACUAGGGCCAUGUAAUCUGGUUCGGCAAGUCGGUCAUCGAAUUCUACCAUUAACUCCUUAGAGUUAAUCGGUUGCAUGCUAAACGAUGUGGAUGGUGUUAACGUACCAGCAGCUUCCAUUGCACAUUCGAAGCUGGUUAGCAUAUAUUCUUGACCUUGUCGAAGGCUUUUCAGUUCCUGUCGUAUAACAACCAUGUGAUGCGAAAUUUCUGUCCCGGAAGACUGCUCCGAGUGCACGGUACACGAUAUUUUAUUUGCAUCUUGAAGAGGUUAUGAUGGUUUUGAAGGGAUAUCGUGGUCGUAAACGGCACCCGUAAGUGAGUUGGUUUCAUUGCACCAACUUGCAGGUAUUGUGGAGCCUGAAGCAAUGGGUAGUGUCUUCACUUGUUCUAGGAAGUGUAGGAAUAUGAAUUGCUAUAUCGCACAGCGUAAUGUCACAAAAUAAUAAAGGACAAAUAAACACUAUUUUUAUUUAACAUAUGUUUUUGGUGAUCAAAUUCAAAUCAAGUAUAAUGAUUUUGUGUGUAAAUGUAAAAUAAAACGCGUUUAAUACUUUGUCACACCAGCAUCGCUCUAAUGGCCAGGUGGUUAACGCAACAUAUUCUCUAUGUCUUUCAGAACACCUUCCUGGAUCAACUCUAGAGUGGCAGCACGGUCAUCCACACGCACUAUGUAAGUAAAAAAAAGAUUUCCUCUCUAUAUAAUAACACGCUAUAACACGCUCUCUACAAAAGAACCCCCAUCUACAUACAAUUGAGAAAGCACUUGAUCGAUGAGGAUUGCACUCUAUCCCUGAAAGCAAUUGCCGAAAAAGUGGAAGAAGUCCACGGUGUUAAGGUUUCUUUGACAACCAUACCGCGUGAAAUUAUGCGAUUCAACUAUUCUUUUAAGCGAUUGCUAAGAAUUCCGGAACGACGUAAUGCAGAAUGUAAUAUUUCUGAUUGAAAAGAGUAUACUCAAUACUUUAUGCGACUUCCAUCUCGCUUGAGUGAUACUGCAAUUGUUUUCGUUGACGAAGUGGGAUUCAACGUGUCAAUGAGAAUUUCAGCCGGUCGAUCGCGGGUUGGUAAACCAGCCGUAGCAGUUGUUCCUCAGCUCAGAACCAGGAACAUAUCUGUAGUUUGUGCCAUGUCCAGAGCAGACAUUAUUCAUUACCUUCGAAACGACAGUGCAAUUCAACGCAUAAAAUUUGUUGAAUUCAUUAGGGAAUUAAAACAGAAGAUGGAAUCUCGCGGCAUGAACCAGUUUUUGAUGGUCAUGGAUAAUGUCCCGUUCCAUAAAUGUCGGGAAGUGAAAGAAAUAAUCACAGAAAACGGUUGUGAAUUGGUGUACCUCCCGCCAUAUUCUCCUUUUCUUAACCCCAUUGCGAAUAUGUUUAUCAAAUGGAAAAAAAUUACUCAACGGACAAAUCCAAAGAAUUAGGCCAAGCUUUUUCAAGCAAUUGACAAUGGGCCUAAUUUAAUUACACCUGAGGAUUGCGAAGGGUACAUUAGGAACAUUUGGGGGUAUUUGAACCGUUGUUUAGCUGACGAGGAUAUAACCGAUUAAAACGGCAAGGAAUGUAACACAAUGCUGACCUGUGAGUUUAAACUGACUAUUUCCUGUGAAGAAAUAUGAAUUAUGAUUUCGAAUUAAACACAUCGUACUUUAGUUGUUUUAUAUAAUAAAUCAUCCUAGAAAAUGUAUUGCAUCUGCUUCAAACCGCCCAAUUGUUUACAAUUUAAAACAAACGGGCAAACGUGGCGUCAUAUCAGCCACGCACUGUAAUCGUUUUCGUUAAGUACCUUGUGCCCUGCGAGCAAGGUAACUCAUUUUCGGUCGGUUUUAGCAUGCCGCCUCUGUUACUCCUACACGAAAAAAAUGCUCGUGCUCCCUCUUCUGGGUGUUGGUAUUUUGAAUCGCUUCUAUUUUGAGUUAUUCCAUCGAUGCCUCUCUGUCUUACUAUGUGUUGUUCCUUUCUUUUGGAGCAAAUUUGAGGUCUUCAUCGAUACUUCUUUAUCUUGCAAAGUCUUGUCUUCCUUUAUCGGGACGUCUGUCAAACAUUGUUUUCACUUUCGUUUGUGACUACUCAGAACGGUUAAUUUUGCAACGAGCGAUAGUUCUUGUUUGAUUUAUCAGUGAUAAAAAUUGUGAAGUGGAAGUGAUAAUGGCAUCAAAAAAGAUGCGUCGUGAUGGACAUCUUUGCAGACGAUGAAAGCGGCUUAUGGAGGAGAUGGACCGGCAAACCGAUGCUGAAUUGGACCGGCUAAACAUCACGGCUACCGGCUUAUCAAACUUUUCAUGGCCGGAUCUUGGCAUAGAUGAUUCAUCAAAUUCAUCGGAAGGAGUUGAGAUCCAGGAUCGGCAACCGAUCGAAAAUGUUUUGUUUCUCGGUGAUGGUAGUAGUAAUCCGGUGAUGAGUAGUAAUAUUGAUAGUGAUCAUGUGAACACCGAUUGCGAUAGUGAUGAUGAUGACAUCACAGCAGGUGGGGAGGGUGUUUAUAACUUUUUAGACAAAAUGUCGCUAAACGAAGCCAUAAGAUAUUGGGCAAUUAUUGGUAACCUGCCGCGAUCGUCGUUGAACAUGCUUCUGGCGAUCUUAAGGAAGAAAUUGAACCUAGACCUUCCAAAAGAUGCGCGGACUUUCCUCAAAACCCCUACCCGAAUCGGAUUGGAAGUUCAACAGAUCUCGGGUGGAGACUUUUGGUAUCAAGGGGUUGAGACGGUCCUACGUGGGUAUUUUCGAAAUGUCGUUCCCGAAGUAGAGACUUUUUCUUUACAAGUGUCGAUCGACGGGCUUCCACUGUUUAGAAGUUCCUCGCGGCAGCUGUGGCCGAUUUUAAUAAAAGUGGAAGAAUUGCCAGACGCUCCGGUAAUGCUUGUCGCCGUGUUUUGCGGACUUACAAAACCGGAGCUUGUGGAGGAAUUUUUAAGACCACUAGUGCUGGAGGUGAACGAUCUCCAGCAAAGAGGCAUGUUGUUCGGAGACAAACAGGUGCGAAUAAAGCUUCACGGCAUAAUUGCUGAUGCUCCAGCGCGGUCAUUCGCAAAAGCGACCAUCAGCUGCACUGGAAAGCAUGGAUGCUUAAAGUUUACCUGCGUUGGGGUACCCAUCGAAUCGGAAAACAAAAUAAUCUUUGAUUCCGUGCAUGCCGAAUUGCGUACGGACGCUGGCUUCAGAAACAAAAUAGACAAGGACCAUCAUAAAGAAUGGCGGACACCUAUUGAAGACAUAGCUAAUUUUGAUAUGAUACGCGGCGUCCCUCUUGGCGAGCGUCUCCAUCUAAUUGAGUAUGGGGUGACCAAGCUAUUGUUGAUAGGGUUUUUAGAAAAUAAUUUUGAAGAUUUCUCUCGAUGGUCACCCCAGCAGAAGGGAAACGUGUCUAAUUUUUUGAUAAACACACGUCUUCCUUCUGAAGUGAAACGUCCUAUGCGGUCCUUGAAAACUGUCCGUUUUUGGAAGGCAACCGAGUAUAGGUCCUUCCUUCAUUACUGCAGUCCUGUGGUCCUGAAGGAUUUUAUGUUACCUUUUACUUUUAAUCACUUCUUGCUCUACUACUGCGGUGUUACGAUUUUUUCAACUUCGGCACACCAGCGACAUUGGCCCCUUGCGAAAAAGUUCCUUGACACAUUUGUCAAGGAAUUUGGCAGCAUCUACGGUCGUUCUCACUUAACAAGCAAGGUCCAUGCUCUUCAGCACGUGUAUGAAGACGUCACGGAAUUUGGACAGCUUGAUGAUUUUUCUGCAUAUCCGUUUGAAAAUUAUUUGCAAAUAGUUAAACGAUAUGUAAAAUCGGGCACGCGGGUAGCAGCACAGGUGGCAGCUCGUAUGCAAGAAAUUGCGUCAAUCGAAAUAGCUGCCAACCUUACUGUUCUAAAAUAUCCGAGGUUGAAGGAGAAUGGUGUUGGUAUACACGUAGCCGCCCAUUUUAUCCUGCUGCCGAAUUUUAAGGAUCAAUGGUUUCUAACCAAAGAUCGUGGCAUUAUUAAAUUUUUAGAAGCGAAGAAGAUUUCUCCGUUUUUCUAUACCAUAAUUGGAAUCCAGUAUGAAUCCUGUACGGAAUUGUUUAAUGUUUCAAUCACCGGUUCGUCGGAUGGCGAACCAGAAGUUAGAUUAUCUUCUACAGAGUUGGAUAUUUAUAAAAUUAUAGAAACAUCUCCGUCCAGGACGGUGGAAGUCCCAUGUUAUAUGGUUAAAUGCAAAUUUGUAGCUGUUUAUUUACCUUCCCGAUCUUUAGCUAUCCCUUCUAUUAAUCCCAGUGUAACUCCCGAUAAUAUUGCUUUAUUCCCUCUGCUUCAUACAUUUCAACCAGACUAACCCGUAUACUCCAACUAAUAUUUUUGAGCUAAUACAGUUUAUUACUAAUAUUUUUCAUUUUACUUCAGUAGGGCCUUUUGCAUUCAACCUUCGGAAGGAUUAAAAAUUUCGACUUGAUUGACUUUCAUCACUAUACUGGAUCUUUGUGCUCGAUAAAUAGUGAGACGAUCGCUUUUACCGCUUUGCAAAACAAUUUUGUGACCAUCUGCAUAACGUAAUAAGUUUUUAUGUGGGUAGUUUUACGGUGGUGGAAUUGAAAAUUUUAACUUUUAAUUUUUUUUAACAUGUAAGGUAAUAUCAUUGCAGAUGGAAACAUUUGAAUGCCUAG